rnacentral:precursor_RNA from 12 species
CUGAGUUGAGUCAUGAUGUGUGCAGUGCCCUGCCCAGGAUGGCGCUCAUUACGUAGUCAACAAGUGAUUAGCAUCUGCCUGGGCAGAGGAAUGCUCACGAAGAACAACAUUUGUGUU